rnacentral:lncRNA from 1 species
AUAAGAGGAGGGAGAGAUAAAACCAUCUGAGCAGAAGAGAGGCACUGGCAGGGAAAGGAUGAGAAAGUCCACAGGUGUGCCUGUCUCUAUGAUCAUGGCCAUUCGAUUCUAAAUAGUUGCUUGGAUCCUGAAGGUCCUUGUGCUUGCAAGGCAGGUGGUGGCAGCACCAUUGAGCUAAAUCCCCAGCCCUAUCUCAGCGUUUCUAAAGAUACCGCCCAUGGCUGGUAA